rnacentral:rRNA from 1 species
AUUGAACGCUGGCGGCAGGCCUAACACAUGCAAGUCGAACGAGUGGCGGACGGGUGAGUAAUGUCUGGGAAACUGCCUGAUGGAGGUGGAUAACUACUGGAAACGGUAGCUAAUACCGCAUACCAUCAGAUGUGCCCAGAUGGGAUUAGCUAGUUGGUGGGGUAACGGCUCACCAAGGCGACGAUCCCUAGCUGGUCUGAGAGGAUGGCCAGCGACAGGGGAACGUAGACACAGUCAAGACUCCGACGGGGGGCAGCGGUGGGGAAUAUUGCACGAUGGGCGCAAGCCUAAUGCAGCCAUGCCGAGUGUAUGAAGAAGGCCUUAGGGUUGUAAAGUACUUUCAGCGGGGAGGCGUUACCAGCAGAAGAAGCACCGGCUAACUCCGUGCCAGCAGCCGCGGUAAUAC